rnacentral:rRNA from 1 species
UACAGAGGGUGCAAGCGUUGUUCGGAAUUACUGGGCGUAAAGCGCACGCAGGCGGUCUGCUAAGUUUGGAGUGACAGUUGGUGGCUUAACUGCCAAAGUGCUUCGAAAACUGACAGACUUGAGGGCUUCAGAGGGACACGGAAUUCCGGGUGGAGUGGUGAAAUGCGUAGAGAUCCGGAGGAACACCAAAGGCGAAGGCAGUGUCCUGGGGAGUACCUGACGCUCAGGUGCGAAAGCCAGGGGAGCGAACGGG